AUUCACCAAUUAUUAUCUAAAAAAAUAUAUCAAUUUCUAAAACACCCGCCGAAAACGGAUAAUUUCUUGAACUCUGGUGGAACCAUAGCCAUCCAUGGCUUUCUCUUUGUUCACAACUACAACUACAUCAUCAAGCUUGUCUCCUCACUGCCAAGCUCGACUCAAUACCAGUCGCAAUAGAACCAACCCAAAGCGCGUGUCUACAAACACAAACAGAAGAAAGCAACAAAAACCCAAUCCCCCUCAACUCAAAUCCGGUGAGUUUAGACCACCACCACCAAUUACCACCGCCACUGGUGACACUGCCACUACCUUCACGCGCUUACCCCCAAAAGAUGACUUUUUUAGUCCAAAACUUCAAGAUUCAACUGAAAUUACUCUCUUUGAGUCAACUAAACCAACCCCAUCUAAGAAUCUUGAAAAACAAUUGGAUUUGUUGGAUGAUGACAAUGUGGAGAAUUUAAGGUUUGAUUAUGGAAAGUUCGAAUUGUACGAGGUUAAAGAUGAUUCUGAGGAUGAAAAUGAUGAAGUGGAUGGUGCAAUGGAAGGUACUAAAAGUAGGGUAUUUGAGGGUAGUGGGAAGUUUGAGUUGUACGAGGUUGACAAUGAUUUUGAUGAAAAUGAUGAUGAGGGGGACAGUGAAAUGGAAGGUUCUAAAAGUGGGGUUUUUGAGGGUAGUGGAAAAUUCAAGUUGUACGAGGUUAACGAUGAUUUUGAGGAUGAUGAUGAUGUGGGGGGCAGUGAAAUGGAAGGUUCUAGAAGUGGGGUUUUUGAGGGUGGUGAUGUGUUUGAAGGGGAAGGUAGUGAUAUAAAGGAGAAGGAGAAAGGGGUUCCAGCAGUAAUGAGGUGUUUCGAUAGGGCGAAAAUAUAUGUAAAAGCAGGUGAUGGAGGGAAUGGGGUGGUGGCAUUUAGAAGGGAGAAGUUUGUUCCAUUAGGUGGACCAUCAGGUGGUGAUGGAGGGAGGGGAGGAAAUGUGUAUUUGGAGGUAGACGGGUCGAUGAAUUCGUUGUUGCCUUUUAGGCAAAGCGUGCAUAUUAAAGCUGGAAGAGGAGGGCAUGGUCAUGGAAAGAAGCAAUUUGGGGCAAAAGGCGAAGAUGUAGUGGUAAAGGUUCCACCAGGUACUGUCGUUAGGGAGGCUCAGGAGGGUGGAAUUCAAGGGAAUGUACUUUUCGAGUUGUUGCAUCCAGGACAGAGGGCAUUGCUGUUGCCUGGUGGAAGAGGUGGGAGAGGGAAUGCCUCUUUUAAGACAGGGAUGAAUAGGGUGCCCAAAAUUGCCGAGAACGGAGAAGAAGGUCCGGAGAUGUGGUUAGAGUUGGAGCUUAAGUUGGUUGCUGAUGUCGGUAUAGUUGGAGCGCCAAAUGCAGGGAAAAGUACAUUUCUCAGUGUUAUAAGUGCUGCUCAGCCAGCUAUUGCUAAUUAUCCCUUUACCACUUUGCUCCCAAAUUUGGGCGUAGUUUCAUUUAAUUAUGAUGCUACUGUGGUCGUCGCUGAUCUGCCUGGUCUACUCGAAGGGGCACACCGAGGUUUUGGUUUAGGCCAUGAGUUUCUUCGGCACUCAGAAAGAUGUUCAGUCCUGGUGCACGUGGUUGAUGGUUCAUCUCCACAACCGGAAUAUGAAUUUGAAGCUGUUCGUCUUGAACUGGAAAUGUUUAGUCCUGAACUUGCUGAAAAGCCUUAUUUAGUGGUUUACAACAAAAUGGAUCUCCCAGAUGCAUAUGAGAACUGGAAGACAUUCAGGGACAGUCUGAGAUCUCGUGCAAUUGAACCCUUUUGCAUGAGUGCAGUGAAAAGUGAGGGUACACAUGAAGUUAUUUGUGCUGCUUAUGAGCUUGUUCGUAGAAGAAAAGAAGCUGCUAAAGAAGAAGUGAGAACAGACACAGUAAACUUGAACUAUGUUGCUGACUUGGUGAAAAAGAAGCGAAAUGCUCCCAUAAACGAGUUUGAGAUCACCCAUGAUAGUUCUUCCAAAACUUGGUAUGUUCAAGGAUCAGGCCUGCAACGUUUUGUCCAAAUGACAAACUGGAGAUAUAUGGAUUCAGACAGAAGAUUUCAACACGUUUUGGAGGCAUGUGGUGUGAAUAAAUCUCUGCUCAAGCUUGGUGUGAAAGAGGGUGACACCGUCGUCGUUGGAGAUAUGGAGUUGGAGUGGCAUGAUUAUGAUAGUGCAGGCUCUAUAAGUAGGAGGAAGUGGGCUGCAGAACCAAGUCGAUAAUUUCAUGGUUGCUCUUUCAAAUGUGCUGCUGAUCAAAAAAUCGUACAAAAGACUAAACAUCCUUCAUGUGGCAUUUCCCAGAACUUAAACCAGAGCUGCUGACAAUCUUCUUAUAUUAUACAUCUGCACCACGGUCAAGACAUCUUCACACUCUAGUUUUGAAUAAUAUAAUGAUGCCUCCAAUUUAGCAGAGCAUUUUCGGUCAAAACACCUUACAGUGCUGCAAGAGGAGUGGGGCCAGAAGAUAUGGGACCACCUCGGAACAUCUUCGUCUCAUGCCGGAAUAAUGCAGCUUCUUCUUUCUGGUGCAAUGAUAUGCAUCAUUAUCCCCAUUUGUUAAUUUAUGACAGUGACAGUGGAGUUAUGUGAUAUUAUAUUUUUUGUCCAUUUAGAAACAUGAUCAUGGUCAGUGAGGUCAUAUAGCCGCCCUACUUAUUUAGGACUGAGACAUAGUUGUAAUAUCUUAAAGUUUCAAAUGACCAUAUAUAAGUAAGUUGAUAAUAGUUGUUGUAAUUGUUUUUGGUGAA